GACGAACGCUGGCGGCGUGCCUAAUACAUGCAAGUCGAACGAGAGCGACCGGUGCUUGCACUGGUCAAUCUAGUGGCGAACGGGUGAGUAACACGUGGGUAACCUGCCCAUCAGAGGGGGAUAACAUCCGGAAACGGAUGCUAAAACCGCAUAGGUCUUCGAACCGCAUGGUUUGAAGAGGAAAAGAGGCGCAAGCUUCUGCUGAUGGAUGGACCCGCGGUGCAUUAGCUAGUUGGUGAGGUAACGGCUCACCAAGGCCGUGAUGCAUAGCCGACCUGAGAGGGUGAUCGGCCACAUUGGGACUGAGACACGGCCCAAACUCCUACGGGAGGCAGCAGUAGGGAAUCUUCCGCAAUGGACGCAAGUCUGACGGAGCAACGCCGCGUGAGUGAAGAAGGUUUUCGGAUCGUAAAACUCUGUUGUUAGAGAAGGACAAGUGCUAGAGUAACUGUUAGCGCCUUGACGGUAUCUAACCAGAAAGCCACGGCUAACUACGUG
rnacentral:rRNA from 1 species